rnacentral:lncRNA from 1 species
GCAGGCUCUCCUGUGCCCAUUCUUAAGGGUGUGAGGCCACUCCCUGGUCGUCAUCCCUGUGUUGGGAAUCCCGAGGAUAUCGUUGCUGCCAACAGUUCUCAUGGUUUCCUUGAUGCAGAGAAGCCACAGCAAUCCAGUGACACAAGCUGUAACAUAAACACUACUUCAGUAAAUGAGAAAAGCAAAUUGGGGAAUUCGAAGUUAGCCAUUAAAACACAGGAGGUGCAAAAGAAAAGGGCUUCACUUGGUAAGUCAGGCUCUUUCCAGUCGAAACAACUGGCCAGUGACAAAUUGGGGAAGGAUGGUAUCAGUGUGAGGUUAAAAUCAAUGGACUCAUGGUCGAUAACUUCGUCUCCAACAAGUGUUUGUACUUUGCCUGCAUCAUUCGAGAAGUUCUCCUUUGAGAAGUUCUCCAAUGAAACUAAGAAGCAAGCACAAGCCCAAAGACCAGAGAAACCAUUGUCAAGGUUUCGUCUGUUGGAUAAGGCAGCUUCUGUCUUGAAAGUGAACAAUGUUGGUAGAAAAUCUUCUGCUGGAAAUUUCUUAAGAAAUUUGGUGCCAGACAUUGAGUUAGAUCCCAAUGGUUUAAGAAAAAGCUGGGUGGAGAAAGUGGAGGCAAAAGGAUGGGAUAGUUCUACCUUAAAAGCAGCCAAACUUGAGACAAGAUCCAAAUCUAAGAGCACUUCGGUGAGUUUAUUCUCUGAAUUACUCUGCAUUGGUAUCGUUCUUACAACAACAAUAUGGAUCUAUUAAAAAUAGCUGCCUUAUCUGCUCUGUCUUUCUUUCUUUCUAGUGGAAGUAAUUAUCUCAGUAGUUAGUUUGAUAGGAUAGGAUUUUAUUUUAAUAGAUUUUAAUCUUUUGGUUGCAACAAUCUUCUGUUUAUAUUUUAGCCAUCUUGGUGAAGGCUUUACAUGCUAAUUAAUUAGACAUCUUGAUCUCUACAGAAAAAGAUGGAUAUCUGUUAUGCAAUUUCUAUCAAUUUAUGAAGUAAGACUUUCUUAUUGAUAUAAUUUUAGAUAAGGAUGUACAUAAACUACCAAGCACCAUUUUAUCCACUAUUGCAAUAUCAAAAUAUAAGAGACAUAGAAGUUGGUUGUAUUUAAUCACAACAUGUUGAUAAUGUGCUUUAGAAGUUAUGUAGAAGUUGUAUUUCCGAUGGCCCCCUUAACAACUAGUUCUUGUAACCUGCAGGCUCCUCAACAGAAGUCAUCAACAAAUGAGAAACUGUUAACUAAGAAGGAUAGCAAGAUUCAAACUACCAUGAAGAAAACCAAUGCAAAAGCUGCCACCGAUGAUUCUGAUAGAUCAGCUAAACGGCGGCCUUCUGUCAUAAAGAAGUCCUCAGAAACUGCUACCAGUCUGAAUCUUGCUGACUUUGUCAAAGUUGUUCCAACCAAUAGAAAAUGGACUGAUAGUAGUGUUUCAUGGUCAUCGCUUCCAUCAUCUCUAGCAGAACUAGGAAAGGUAUGAUUGAUAUCAUUCAAUGAUAUGGCCAAAGUAGAUUCUAAUGUAAAUGGUUGAGCUGAUUUUUCCAAGUCAUAUCACUACAUUUUGGAAGGGUUAUCUUUCUGUGUUUGUGCCUAAAUGGUGAUGUGGACCUAUAUGGCAUUAACUAUGUGAAACUACAAUGAGGGUUACUCAAGGUUUCUUUUAAUCACCAACAUUUUGCGACUUGGGCAAAAAUUAUGCACCAGGUCUAGGUUAACAAGUCAACCGUUCGCAGUGUGCAACUGUGUCCAGACGAAGCAUUUUCAUUUUUGGAAUAGAAGUAUCUUGGUUAUGCUAUCUGGCAGUGACUGGACUGACAAUUUAUAAAUUUUAGGAGCUGUUGAAGUAUAGGGAUGCAGCACAACUGGCUGCUGUUGAGGCUGUACAAGAAGCUUCUGCUGCAGACAGCUUGAUUCGGUGCUUAAGGUAAUUACUCUUGCAAAACACUUGCUGUAGUUUUGCAUACUGUUCAACUAUCUAUUUUUGGUGCUGCAAGUCAUAGGAUCUUUCAUCGCAUAUCAUUUAGACUUGCUUUUUAUUGAUUCUCUUUUCCACCAGGAUCUAGUUUCAUCCUCAUCAUAGUUAGAAGCUGUCCUGUAUGCCCUUAUCCCAACUUGAGAUGCCUGUUUGAGGGUUCAGUAAUCUAACAUCCUAACUUGCCAACUAAUUGUCAUCCUUUAUAUAGCUAUCAGGUUUAAUGAUCUAACAUCUCUGCAGAAACAAAUUUGCUCAUUACAGUCAUAAUUUACUAGGAUCUUUGGAAUUUGGCUUGCUUUGUUUGGAGGCCAUAGGAAUGAUAAUAAAAAUCAUAUGAGACUAAAUGCAAGGACACUUCAACCUUUUAGUGUAUGUACAUGAAACACUGGGACAUGAGUGGUCAGUUGUGUUAGCAUAAAGAUUGAAAAUCUAUGCAUCCUUUUUAUUGUAUAUUCCGACACUUUAGCCACAAGAGCCUUUAAGUAAGGGGAAAUCUAAUUGAUGCAAUGACUCCAGUAGAGUCCAUAGCAGAACAUGGUGAAUGGAUAUCAUUUACCAAUUAGGAGAACUGGAUCAUAGAAGAAGCUAUUUGUUUAUGCAGUGACUCCUGAAGAAGAUGUAGGCUUAAAAGAACAUCUUGCUAAACUAAGGUAUUGAAAGUAUUCCUUUUUAUUUUAUCCAACUCUUUUUGAUUAAUUUUUGAGUUGGAAACUUACAUUUUAUCAGAAACUUAGAAAGGAUUCCUCGUACACACUGCAUGCUGGCUAAUAGUGCAAGCAAGCAAUGAUUGGACCUAUCAGGUCAUAUAAUAUGGUAAUUACCUAUUUAAUUUCUAUGUUAAUCCUUAAUCAUAACUCAAUUUCUCUACAUGGUGCCGACCUUGCUAAUUCUGCAGAUAUACAUCAAACAUAUGUACUAGCUAAAGCACUAUAUAUACUAGUGAGCUGGUUCAUAUUGGACGUCACAGGAUAAAGAGAAACAAUAACAAGUAAUAUAAUGGCAAUUUUGCUCAAAGACCAAUAAUAGAAAAGGAUCAUCUAAUCACUAUAAACAUUUGGAAACAACAAUUAGCAUAAGGUAUUUGCAUGUGAAUCUAUUCAACAUCAAUUUAUUGUGCAUUCCAUGUUGUAGUUUGUUUGCUGGAUCUCAAGAUUUUCAGCAGACUCUUUGUUCUAGUGAGUCUUCAAAUUGAUGUUUUUAUCCUCAAUUAAAGUGCAAAAGAUGAAAAAAAAAAUUCCCUGGGAAAGUUCAAGAGAUCAGAGUUAUAGUGAAUUGCAUCAUUCUUUCUUCUAAGUGCAGUAUGUAUGCGGAGAUCAGUACCUCUGCUAAGGAGGACAACCCACGGCCGACAGUGGAGCAGUUCCUCGCCCUUUAUGCCUCCCUCCGCAACGCCACUGCCGUUACUGACUCCCUCUCGAAGACUACAUUGCAAACUCUGCCGGUAACUGCACCGGGCCAGUCCCUCAGCG